UCCACUAAGAAGCACAGAUCUAUGAAACACAGUCUGGGAAUACCCAUAUACUUUAAUGCAACUUUUGUCUCACAUCUUGGCUCCCAGGCAGAAAACUCGUAUUUCUCAAAUCUCCCAGAGAUUCGCAAACAAACAAAGCCGCGUCACAAUACCAAGAGCUCUGAAGCUUAUUGACAAACACUCAUCACAAAGGAUCCCAUAAAGCAGAAACGCGAGUGUUUAACUUUUGUUUUAAUUUUAUUGUUUAUCGCACAUCAAGAUCUAGUCAGUGGUACAAUGGCUUAAUCGGUCCGAUCGAUCGUUUCGGGGCAUGGGGGUUCUAAUUAUUGAUACAACUAAGUUGACCUUUGUAACAAUAAAUUAUAGCAAAAGCUGCGUAAUUGCGUUAAUAAAUAUCAGACAUGGCUCAACAACAAAUAAAAUCGUCACUCAGUUAUAUCUAUGUAUGGA